rnacentral:lncRNA from 1 species
GCUGGAGUGCAGUGGUACAAUCCCAGUUGACUGCAGCCUCAAUCUCUCAGGUUUAAGAGAUCCUUCCAGCUUAGCCUCCCAGAUAGCUGAGAUUAUAGGUGUGCACCACCAUGCCCAGCUAAUUUCAUUAUUUUUUGUAGAGACAGGAUAUCACUAUGUUGCCCUGGCUUCAGCUCCUGGGCUCAAGCGAUCCUCCUGCCUCAGCCUCCCAAAGCUCUGGGAUUACAGGCAUGAGCCACCGGGCCUGGCUGGGUUAACCUUUUAAAAUCUCCUGUCUCUCUCUGUGAAAAGUGGGGCUAAUAGUUGCAUCUCAGCAUAUGCCUGACUGCCAUCUAGCAGUCAAUAAAUUUUAGGGUGAUGGAUGCCUACUCAACUUUAAAUUCUGUUGGAGUCUCUUGUUUCCCCCCCUCACCCACCAUUUCAAGCAGACAAAUGCCGUCAUUCUGCUGAACUUCAGAGUAUCUUACUGUAGUCAUACGUUUUUCAAAAUAACUCAAACUUGGAAAUAACAUGACACUUUUGAGAUUCAUAUUUUAUUUACAAGUAAAUGAAGACUGUCCCUGUAAACUCUAAUUUGGGAUACGAAGAACAAUAUAAAGAAGUAGUUGCUGGUGCCACAGUGACGUGUGAAGGAGUCUAUGCCACUGUUUCUUUAAACAGUGAUUUUGUUAUUAAAAAAAAAACCCACCUACACGAUUUCUUCAUGUUGCAUAUGUAAAAUAAUUAAAAAUAAAAGUGACUUUUCAAAACUCUACAGUCUGUGAUCAAAUGCGUGAGGUGGCCAGGAUGUCACUUUCACUCAGUGACAGCCCCUACUCUUCAAGAGCCAACAGCCUCUGGGCAAAAGACUAGUACUCAUCAAGAGUAUCUGCUCGAGGAAUGGAAAGACCUCGGUCCUUCAGGGCCUGCACUUUCAACUUCUCUGCUUCCAGCUUGGUCUGCUGUUCCACCCUUUGCUCUUCUAGAAUUUCUUCAAUGGAUACUUGCUGGAGGGGUGUGUCACUCUCCUUUUCCAAGUCCUACAAAAGAGACAGGUUUGAAAACUUCACCUGAAGACCAAGAAUAGAAAGCACAGAUCUCAAGGCAAAUGGAUUCCUCUAUCAGGCUCAGAUUAUUUUUCAUAACUGUGACAGGAACUGAAAUAUCCUUCUCCUAGGGACCGGUAAGUUUUUCAAAGAAAUGCCUGACAACACUACUAUAGGAUACAUACUUACAAUGAGGUUAAUAGUGAUCAGCAUAUAUAUAUAUUUUUCAAGAUGGAGUCUCUCUGUCACCCAGGCUGAAGUGCAGUGGCGCAAUCUGAGCUCACUGCAACCUCUGCCUCAAAAAAAAAAAAAAAAAAAAAAAAAAAAAAAAAAAAAAAAAAAAAAAAAAAAAAAAAAAAAAAAA